rnacentral:lncRNA from 1 species
UUGAACAUGAGUUUAUGGCGUUUGUUGAACUUGAGUUUGUGACGUGUUUGAACUUGAGGUUGUGGUGUUUUUGAACUCGAGUUUUUGUGUUUGUUGAACUUCAGUUUUUGGCGUGUUUGAACUUGAGUUUGUGGUUUUUUUAACUUGAGGUUGUGGUUUUUUGAACUUAAGUUUGUGGAAAUUUUUAAACUUGAGGAUUGGGUGGUGGUUGAACUUGAGUUUGUGGUGUUUUUUGAACUUGAGGUUGUGGUGUUUUUGACUUGAGUUCGUAGCGUGUUUGAACUUGAGGUUGUUGCAAUUGUUAAACUUGAGAUUUGGGUGUUGGUUGAACUUAAAACUUUGCCAUUUGUUGAACUUGAGUUUGUGGUGUAUGUUGAACUCCAGCUUGUGUUGUGUUUGAACUUGAGGUUGUGGUAUUUUUUAAUUGAGUUUGUGGCGGUUUUUGAACUUGAGUUUGUGGCGUGUUUGAACUUGAGGGCGUGUUUGAACUUGAGUUUGUGGUGGUUUUUGAACUUGAGGUUGUGAAAAUUGUUAAAACUUGAGAAUCAGGUGUUGGUUGAACUUGAGUUUGUGGUUUUUGUUGAACCUGAGUUUGUGGUUUUUGUUGAACUUGAGUUUGUGUCGUUUUUGAGCUUGAGGUUGUGGUGUUUUUAAACUUGAGUUUGCGUGUUUGUUGAUCUUGAGUUUGUGUGUUUUUUGAACUUGAGUUUCUUGUUUCUGAACUUGAGGUUUUGGCAAUUAUUGAACUUGAGUCUGUUGUUUUUAGUGAACUUUAGUUGGUGGCAAUUGUUGAACUUGAGUUUGUGGCAUUUGUUAAACUUGAGUUUGUGACGUGUUUAAACAUGAUUUUGUGGUGUUUUUGAACUCGAGUUGUUGGUGUUUUUGAACUUGAGGUUGUGGAAAUUGUUAAACUUGAGAAUUGGGUAUUGGUUGAACUUGAGUUUGUGUGUUUGUUGAACUUGAGUUUUUGUCGUGUUUGAACUUCAGUUUGUGUGGUGUUUUUUGAACUUGAGGUUGUGGUGUUUUUGAACUUGAGUUUGUGGCGGUUUUUGAACUUGAGGUUGUGGCAAUUGUUGAACUUGAGUUUGUGACGUGUUUGAACUUGAUUUUGUGGUGUUUUUGAACUUGAGUUCGUGGUGUUUGUGGAAUUUGAGUUUGUGUCGUGUUUGAACUUGAGGUUGUGGUGUUUUUGAACUCGAGUUUUUGUGUUUGUUGAACUUCAGUUUGUGUCCUGUUUGAACUUGAGUUUGUGGCAUUUGUUAAACUUGAGUUUGUGACGUGUUUAAACAUGAUUUUGUGGUGUUUUUGAACUCGAGUUUGUGGUGUUUUUGAACUUGAGGUUGUGGAAAAACGUAAACUUGAGAUUUGGGUGUUGAUUGAACUUGAGUUUGUUUCGUGUUUGAUCUUGAGGUUGUGGUGUUUUUGAACUUGAGGUUUCUUGUUUGUUUAACUUGAGUUUGUGUGUUUUUUGAACUUGAGUUUGUUGUUUCUGAACUUGAGGUUUUGGCAAUUGUUGAACUUGAUAAUUGGGUAUUGGUUGAACUUGAGUUUGUGUGUUUGUUGAACUUGAGUUUGUGUCGUGUUUGAACUUCAGUUUGUGGUGUUUUUUGAACUUGAGGUUGUGGUGUUUUUGAACUUGAGUUUGUGGCGGUUUUUGAACUUGAGGUUGUGGCAAUUGUUGAACUUGAGUUUGUGACGUGUUUGAACUUGAUUUUGUGGUGUUUUUGAACUUGAGUUCUUGGUGUUUGUGGAAUUUGAGUUUGUGUCGUGUUUGAACUUGAGGUUGUGGUGUUUUUGAACUCGAGUUUUUGUGUUUGUUGAACUUCAGUUUGUGUCGUGUUUGAACUUGAGUUUGUGGCAUUUGUUAAACUUGAGUUUGUGACGUGUUUAAACAUGAUUUUGUGGUGUUUUUGAACUCGAGUUUGUGGUGUUUUUGAACUUGAGGUUGUGGAAAAACGUAAACUUGAGAUUUGGGUGUUGAUUGAACUUGAGUUUGUUUCGUGUUUGAUCUUGAGGUUGUGGUGUUUUUGAACUUGAGGUUUCUUGUUUGUUUAACUUGAGUUUGUGUGUUUUUUGAACUUGAGUUUGUUGUUUCUGAACUUGAGGUUUUGGCAAUUGUUGAACUUGAUAAUUGGGUAUUGGUUGAACUUGAGUUUGUGUGUUUGUUGAACUUGAGUUUGUGUCGUGUUUGAACUUGAUUUUGUGGUGUUUUUGAACUCGAGUUUGUGUUGUUUUUGAACUUGAGUUUGUGGUGUUUGUUGAACUUGAGUUUGUGUCGUGUUUGAACUUGAGUUUGUGUCGUGUUUGAACUUGAGGUUGUGGUGUUUUUGAACUCGAGUUUUUGUGUUUGUUGAACUUCAGUUUGUGUCGUGUUUGAACUUGAGUUUGUGGUGUUUUUUGAACUUGAGGUUGUGGUGUUUUUGAACUUGAGUUUGUGGCGGUUUUUGAACUUGAGGUUGUUGCAAUUGUUGAACUUGAAAUAAAAACCCAAAUAUGAACCCAAAUAUAUAUUUUUUCUUUUUACAUUUUUUUUGGUGUAACCAACUCCAAAAGGUCUUAAACAUGUUCCUAAAAAUGUUUUGGACAGUGAUAUUAAACCUAACGCCAAAAACCUUAAACCUUACCCUAGCCCCAUAACCUAAUACACGGGUAUUACCUUCAGGAAGCCCAAAAACCCCAAAUAUUUUUUUUUCAUUUUUCAUUUUUUUUUGGUCUAACUAACUCCAAAAGGUUGGAAAAGAGGUCCUACAAAGGUUUUGGACAGUGAUUUUAACCCUCACGCCAAAAACCUUAAACCUUACUAUAGCCCCAUAAAAUAAUACCCGGGUAUUACCUUCAGAAGCCCAAAAACCCCAAAUAUUUUUUUUUUAUUUUUCAUUGGUUUUGCUCUAACUAACUCCAAAAGGUUGGAAAAGAGUUCCUACAAAGGUCUUGGACAGUGAUUUUAACCCUAACGCCAAAAACCUUAAACCUUACCCUAGCCCCAUAACCUAAUACCCGGGUAUUACCUUCAGAAGCCCAAAAACCCCAAAUAUUUUUUUUUUAUUUUUCGUUAGUUUUUGCUCUAACUAACUCCAAAAGGUUGGAAAAGAGUUCCUACAAAGGUUUUGGACAGUGAUUUUAACCCUAACACCAAAAACCUUAAACCUUACCCUAGCCCCAUAACCUAAUACCCGGGUAUUACCUUCAGGAAGCCCGAACACCCCAAAUAUUUUUUUUUUCAUUUUACAUUUUUUUUUGGUGUAACCAACUCCAAAAGGUCUUAAACAUGUUCCUAAAAAGGUUUUGGACACUGAUUUUAACUCUAACGCCAAAAACCUUAAACCUUACCCUAGCCCCAUAACCUAAUACCCAGGUAUUACCUUCAGGAAACCCGAACACCCCAAAUAUAUUUUUUUUCUUUUUCUUUUUUUUUUGUCUUACUAACUCCCAAAGGUCUGAAACAUGUUCCUUAAAAAAUAUUGGACAGUUAUUUUAACCCUAACGCCAAAAACCUUAAACCUUACCCUAGCCCCAUAACCUAAUACCCGGGUAUUACCUUCAGGAAGCCCGAACACCCCAAAUAUAUAUUUUUUAUUUUUCUUUUUGUUUUGGUUUAACUUGCUCUCAAAGGUUGGAAAAGAGUUCCUACAAAGGUUUGGGACAUUGAUUUUAACCCUAACGCCAAAAACCUUAAACCUUACCUUAGCCCCAUAACCUAAUACCCAGGUAUUACCUUCAGGAAACCCGAACACCCCAAAUAUAUUUUUUUUCUUUUUCUUUUUUUUUUGUCUUACUAACUCCCAAAGGUCUGAAACAUGUUCCUUAAAAAAUAUUGGACAGUUAUUUUAACCCUAACGCCAAAAACCUUAAACCUAACCCUAGCCCCUUAACCUCAUACCCGGGUAUUACCUUCAGGAAGCCCGAACACCCC